GAAGGAGAAAAGGUGGAAAACUGCAAACAACAGCUCAGAGCCAUGCAGCUUUGGUUCCUGUUCUAAGCAGUUCUGUCACAGUACACACUUCUCUGAGGACCACCAUCUCUGGAUUGAGGGCAGGAGUUUGAUUUGCAAAGUAGUGAGACGAUACAGGCGCUCCCUCCUCCUCCUCCUCAGUGUCCUCUGGGGCGCCUCUGGCGCCUGGGGAACCAUCCUCAGCUACAAACAGGAAAUGUAGACAUUUACAGGUGACCCUGGGUUUGGAGCCCAAUACCAGCUGCUCUCCUGCUGAAUGGACUCAACACCUCAGCAGGAAUUAAACAUUUUAUUUUGAAAAGCUCAA